AUUGAACGCUGGCGGCAUGCUUUACACAUGCAAGUCGAACGGCAGCGCGGGCUUCGGCCUGGCGGCGAGUGGCGAACGGGUGAGUAAUACAUCGGAACGUGCCCAGUCGUGGGGGAUAGCUCGGCGAAAGCCGGAUUAAUACCGCAUACGACCUGUGGGUGAAAGCGGGGGAUCUUCGGACCUCGCGCUAUUUGAGCGGGCGAGGGCAGAUUAGCUAGUUGGUGGGGUAAAGGCCUACCAAGGCGACGAACCGUAGCUGGUCUGAGAGGACGACCAGCCACACUGGGACUGAGACACGGCCCACACUCCUGCGGGAGGCAGCAGUGGGGAAUUUUGGGCAAUGGGCGAAAGCCUGAUCCAGCAAUGCCGCGUGUGUGAUGAAGGCCUUCGGGUUGUAAAGCACUUUUGGCGGGAACGAAAAAGACUGUGCCAAUACCACGGUUCGAUGACGGUACCCGCAGAAUAAGCACCGGCUAACUACGUG
rnacentral:rRNA from 1 species